AUGUUGUUUUUUAGUCUACACAGCACAGCCAAGCAGUAAAACAUGCAGGCUCAGUGCAGCCCCGUAGAGUUUUUUGGUUUGAUCUUUGUAGUAGAGCUGUAUCUAUGCAGUGUGAUGCAUCUGCAAGGGCAGAAUAACCAUUUUUAACAAGAGUCUACAGCCAUGCUUGCAGCUCUGUGAGGUGGUAGGUCCCCUCCACAUAAUCAGUCCACAAUGAGGUGCACCUGGCCAGGGGGGAAGGGUUAAAUGCUCCAGGUUCCUGCUGCAGAGAAGAGGCUUCUUGUUUGUGGACUGCUAGUCUUGCUGCCUCUCGGCCUGGGAUUUUAUUUUAUUCAGUGUUUCUGUAUUUUGAUUGCUUAUAGUAUUUAUUUAGUGUCUUGGUUGUUUUGUAUGUUUUUGUUAAUAAAUCCCAUGGUUUGAAUAUUUUGAAAGGUGUUGGGGUCUUACUUUGGGUAAAUGGAGAAUUGUUGUUUCUUUUAACAUUAAUGUCUUAGCACAGAAAGAACAAAAACUAAAUCCAGUAACUUCUCUUUUUUGUUUGUUUUCAAAACUUAUUUGAUUAACAUUUAUUUCCUCCUCUACAACACAUAUAAAUGCUUUCAUGAACUGGGAACAUGUUAAGACCUUGCUAUACUGGUAAUGGAGAGAGCAAACACUUUGAUUUCAAUGAAAAUUGUGUUGAUUCAAUAUAUUUUAAAUUCAAAUGACAAAACCCAGAACUUAAAGAGAGUCUUCUACAAUAUGUCAGUACUCAUUCUAACAUACUAUGCAGUCAAAGCACAUCCCUUUUUGUUUUUGGCAAAAGAUGAGAGAAUGAGAGAUGAAAGAAGAAUGAACAUGUGAUUCCCUCUGUUACAGCAGAGUCUGUUCAUUAACAAGCAUUAUUCAUAACAUUCUUUCAAGUCCAUUGUCAAUCAAUAUUUCCAAACUCAAGAGGAUUUUUAAAAUUUCAGGCUUAGUCCAGUCUUCGUCCUAGCGUUGUCAAUUAAAGGUCAAAGAAACAACUCAAAUGUAUUCCUUUUCAAAAAACAGUGAACAAAAUAAACAAGCAGGCGGUCAUGUCAAUCUGUCAGGGAUGCAACACGGUAGGAUUUGUUUGGUUGAGAUAAUUUGGUGUUUUUUGUGGAUAUAGUGCUUCAGUUCAGUUCCACUUUUUCACACUGCACAGGUUUUUCUUGUGCUGCUUCCAAUACCUGUCAAAAACCAGCCUCUGCUUUGAACUACCUCUCACCUGGACGAGUGACCACCUGCUCCCCGGCUGAGCAGCGGAGACACAGCUUCAUCUCUGUGUUAAUGGCUGACGGCUGAGUGGUUGUGGCAGGCAGCCUUCUGCAGCCUCCGUGCCUCGCGUGUCACCCAAGGGCCCGGUGGAUGGGAGUGGAUGGGUGUGAAAGUGGAGACGGUUAGCACUUCCACAUCUGUCAGCUGGGGUUGGCAAC